rnacentral:tRNA from 1 species
GAGGGUAUAGCUCAAGUGGUAAAGUGUAUGCUUUGCAUGCAGGAGGUCCUGGGUUCAAUGCCCAGUACCUCG